ensembl:lncRNA
AAAAGGAAGAGAAGCCAGUGUGGGCAAAAUCUGCUCUCUCUAGUCCCCGUCAGUAUGCUCACUGCAGCAUUUUGGAUUAACUGAAGGCUUUUCAGGCAGUUUUUAGGACAUCCUGAUAAUAAUCAAUUACAGUAGUCCAGCCUGGAAGUAAGACAGAGCCUGAUUAUUCAACAUCUUGUAUGUGAGGAGGAAAAUGUUUAAUUCCGUUCUGGAUGUAUGAGGGAGGCACAGAAUAGUAGCAAGAGACAGGAUAUUUCUAACUUCAGAGAUGUUGCGCAAAUGGAAGAAAGCAGUCUUACAUAUUUGUUUAAUAUGUGCGUUGAAGGACAUGUCCUGGUCAAAAAUGACUCCAAGGUUCCUCACAGCGUUACUGGAGGCCAAGCUGUUUUGGGAUUGUGAGGAAGACAAACACAUUCGGUCUGUUUUACCUGCAAACUGCACAGGUAAGCGGACCAUGAACGUAAUAACCCUGCUAAAGGAAUCAUUACAGAGGAUGUGCGAGGCUUUAACGUGUCAAAGGUUCAAUGCAGAUGACUUAGGCUCCUUCACUCAUUUACUGUUUUUCAAGGUAGAAUAUUACAGGUCCAUAAGAUAUUGUGUGAAGUGGAAAGGAUCCAUGUGUCCCCAACGCUCCAACAGACAGCCUAGGGCCUCCAAGAAGAACACCAAGACAAGCCCCGCUCCAGAGGAAGAAGUCAUCCAGCGUCAGCUGAGAGGGCGGAGGGGGAAAGGCAGUACUGGUGACAGCCUCUGUAUCGCAGGUGAGGGAACAGGGUGCGACAUCCUCGACAUCAUUACCACUCAGGAAGAGAAGCAUGUUGGUGAAGAAGAUGGGGGAAAGGCGGUAGAGAUAGCUCAUAAAGAACUGGACGACUUGGAUGAAGACCGAGUCUCUGUUUGCAGCAGCACAGCGUCUGGUCCCUCUUUUUAUCACUCCACCUACAGAAAAGCGAGGCCUUCCCAGAACCUGUGCUUGGCCUGUCAGAAGCUCUACCAGAAAGCAAAGAAGAUAAAAACACCAAUCAUAAACAAACUGCUGGACAAUGAUCCUAUGUCCCCGACAUGUGACCAGUGGGUCCUUAUCAAAAAGCGGACAUCCCAAAGGUGGCCUGAUGCAAGAGGGAAGCUUUUGAGCCACAUAAAGAAGAUAAAGAAGGCCUGUGAGAAACAAAGUGAGCAGCGUGUGGAAGAAUCUGCCGUCUGUUCAAGGCCGCACACUUUCCUCCACAGGAACCUCAGACGAUGUGUGAAAGCGAAAAAGGAGAGGAAGAAGAAUAAGAACAGGAGGAAGAGACAGAGAGACGGUUCGCAGGGUACUCGUGCCGCUAAGCAGCAGCGUCUCCACACCAACACUCCCAUCAAGAUGACCUGUGUAGAGCCAAACAGCCGCCGAAAAAGCAGCAGUCAGGGGAACAGAGGUGUGACUGCUGAGGCGAUUCCCUCGUCUGUGACACAGGAAGCCACCACACCAAGCAAGAGAACACCAAAGCAGACGGGUAGAUUCAGAAACUUGCUGGCUGAGCUACGGAGCAAGAGCAGCAUGAUUGUAAGAGAAACACACUAGUGAGGAGGCAGGAUUCGAGUGCUAAUCGCUUUUAGUCGUGAUGUUCUGCUGGUCUUCAGUAUUGUUACCUAUUCGGUGGCCUAUGCCUAGAGUUACUUGACAAAGUGCCGUCGCAGUUCUGUGCAUGUUUUGUUUGU